rnacentral:rRNA from 1 species
AACGCGAAGAACCUUACCCAGGCUCGAAAUGUAGGUGGCGAUACCAGAGAUGGUAUUUUCCGUAAGGACGCCUAUAUAGGUGCUGCAUGGCUGUCGUCAGCUCGUGCCGUGAGGUGUUUGGUUAAGUCCAGCAACGAGCGCAACCCUUAUCAUUAGUUGCCAACACGCAAGGUGGGGACUCUAAUGAGACUGCCUAGGUUAACUAGGAGGAAGGUGAGGAUGACGUCAAGUCCGCAUGGCCUUUAUGUCUGGGGCUACACACGUGCUACAAUGGUCGGUACAGAAGGCAGCAAGACCGUAAGGUGGAGCAAAUCCGUAAAACCGAUCUCAGUUCAGAUUGUAGUCUGCAACUCGACUACAUGAAGCUGGAAUUGCUAGUAAUGACGUGUCAGCAACAACGUCGUGAAUACGUUCCCGGGCCUUGUA